UCCGCAUUAGUCUAGCUGGUUAGGAUAACAGGCUCUCACCCUGUAGACCCGGGUUCAAGUCCCGGAUGCGGAA